GACGAACGCUGGCGGCGUGCUUAACACAUGCAAGUCGAACGGAAAGGCCCUGCUUUUGUGGGGUGCUCGAGUGGCGAACGGGUGAGUAACACGUGAGUAACCUGCCCUUGACUUUGGGAUAACUUCAGGAAACUGGGGCUAAUACCGGAUAGUAGCUCCUGCUGCAUGGUGGGGGUUGGAAAGUUUCGGCGGUUGGGGAUGGACUCGCGGGUUAUCAGCGUGUUGGGGGGGUAGUGGCGUACCAAGGCUUUGACGGGUAGCCGGCCUGAGAGGGUGACCGGCCACAUUGCGACUGAGAUACGGCCCAGAGUCGUACGGGAGGCAGCAGUGGGGAAUAUUGCACAAUGGGGGGACGCCUGAUGCAGCAACGCCGCGUGCGGGAUGACGGCCUUCGGGUUGUAAACCGCUUACGCCUGUGACGAAGCGUGAUUGACGGUAAUGGGUGAAGAAGCACCGGCUAACUACGUG
rnacentral:rRNA from 1 species